rnacentral:rRNA from 1 species
UGAUGACGAGACGCUAAGGGGUUGAAGCAGUGUAUGUGGGACUUCCAAGAAAAGCUCGCAAUGUCACAACUAAAAAAUGCCUGUACCAUAACCGACACAGGUGGGUAGGUAGAGUAUACUAAGGGGCGCGAGAUAACUCUCUCUAAGGAACUCGGCAAAAUGACUCCGUAACUUCGGGAGAAGGAGUGCCUUAUUUAUAAGGUUGCAAUAACAAGAUCCAAGCAACUGUUUAUCAAAAACACAGGUCUCCGCUAAGUCGUAAGACGAUGUAUGGGGGCUGACGCCUGCCCAGUGCCAGAAGGUUAAAGAAGUUGGUUAGUGUAUGCGAAGCUGAUGACUGAAGCCCUGGUGAACGGCGGCCGUAACAAUAACGGUCCUAAGGUAGCGAAAUUCCUUGUCGGGUAAGUUCCGACCCGCACGAAAGGCGUAAUGAUUUGGAUACUGUCUCGGAGAGAGGCUCGGUGAAAUAGACUUGUCUGUGAAGAUGCGGACUACCUGCACCAGGACAGAAAGACCCUAUGAAGCUUUACUGUAACUUGAAAUUGGAAUUGGACUUUGCUUGCGCAGUAUAGGUGGGAAGCGUUGAAAAUAUUCUUGCGGGAGUAUUGGAGCUAUCAGUGAGAUACCACUCUUAUAAUGUUAGAUUUCUAACUUUGAACCAUAAUCUGGUCAAAGAACAGUUUCAGGUGGGCAGUUUGACUGGGGCGGUCGCCUCCCAAAUGGUAACGGAGGCGUACAAAGGUUUCCUCUGAACGGAUAGAAAUCGUAUCUAGAGUGUAAAGGCAUAAGGAAGCUUGACUGUGAGACCUACAAGUCGAGCAGGGACGAAAGUCGGUCUUAGUGAUCUGAUGGUACUGAGUGGAAAGGCCGUCACUCAACGGAUAAAAGUUACUCUAGGGAUAACAGGCUGAUCUCCCCCAAGAGUUCACAUCGACGGGGAGGUUUGGCACCUCGAUGUCGGCUCAUCGCAUCCUGGGGCGGUAGUACGUCCCAAGGGUUGGGCUGUUCGCCCAUGAAAGCGGUACGCGAGCUGGGUUCAGAACGUCGUGAGACAGUUCGGUCCAUAUCCGGUGUAGGCGCUAGAAUAUUGAGAGGAGCCUUCUUUAGUACGAGAGGACCGAGAAGGACACACCGCUGGUGUACCAGUUAUCGUGCCAACGGUAAACGCUGGGUAGCUAUGUGUGGAGUGGAUAACCGCUGAAAGCAUCUAAGUGGGAAGCCCACCUCGAGAUGAGUAUUCU